ensembl:lncRNA
CAGGUGUUAGUCGUUGUCUCUGAUUGGGAACCAUAUUAAGGUAGCCUGUUUUGUAUAGUGGGGUGUGGGUGAUUGUUCCUGUUUCCAGUGUUCCUGUGUUGGUAUUCACGUUAUGGGACUGUUUCGUCUUCGUACUUUUUUGUCAGUUCAUAAUUUUUGUUCGUUGCUUAAGUAUCCCAUUAAAAAUGGAUAAUCAUCAUGCUGUAUUUUGGUCCUCCUCUCUUUCUCCCGAAGACGAUCGUUACGAAGAUAAAUUACAAUUAAUUGUCUCACCACUGUUGGUCUGUCUUUAAACAGCUCAGUGAAAGGUAUUUGCCUGCCUCCCAUAUAUUUAUAUAUUGUUUUUUUUGUUUUGUUUUUUUGUUUUUGAAUGUACACUACCUAGAAGGCCAACAUUCCGGAGUCGCCUCUUCACUGUUGACGUAGCGACUAGAGUUUUGCGGGUUCUAUUUAAGGAAGUUGCCAGUUGAGGACUUGUGAGGUGUCUGUUUCUCAAACUAGACGCUCUAAUGUACUUGUCCUCUUGCUCAGUUGUGCACCGGGGCCUCACACUCCUCUUUCUAUUCUGGUCAGAGCCAGUUUGCGCUGGUAUGUGAAGGGAAUAGUACACAGUGUUAUGCGAGAUCUUCAGUUUCUUGUCAAUUUCUCGCAUGGAAUAGCCUUAAUUUCUCAGAACAAGAAUAGACUGACGAGUUUCAGAAGAAAGUUUGUUUCUGGCCAUUUUGAGCCUGUAAUCGAACCCACAAAUGCUGAUGCUCCAGAUACUCAACUAGUCAAAAGAAGGCCAGUUUAAUUGCUUCUUUAAACCAGCACAACAGUUUGCAGCUGUGCUAACAUAAUUGCAAAAGGGUUUUCUUGUUACGGCUUUCUUCCGUCGAAGGAGAGUCGGACCAAAAUGCAGCGUGGUUAGUUCGAUACAUGUUUAAUGAAAGAAUAAACACGACAAAUACAAAAACAAGAAACGGAACGUGAAAACCUAUACAGCCUAUCUGGUGAAUACAAACACACUGAGACAGGAACAAUCACC